GACGAACGCUGGCGGCGUGCUUAACACAUGCAAGUCGAACGGAAAGGCCCUGCUUUUGUGGUGUGCUCGAGUGGCGAAAGGGUGAGUAACACGUGAGUAACCUGCCCUUGACUUUGGGAUAACUUCAGGAAACUGGGGCUAAUACCGGAUAGGAUCUCCUGCUGCAUGGUGGGGGUUGGAAAGUUUCGGCGGUUGGGGAUGGACUCGCGGCUUAUCAGCUUGUUGGUGGGGUAGUGGCUUACCAAGGCUUGGACGGGUAGCCGGCCUGAGAGGGUGACCGGCAACAUUGGGACUGAGAUACGGCCCAGACUCCUACGGGAGGCAGCAGUGGGGAAUAUUGCAAAAUGGGCGGAAGCCUGCUGCAGCAACGCCGCGUGCGGGAGGACGGCCUUCGGGUUGUAAACCGCUUUCGCCUGUGACGAAGCGUGAGUGACGGUAAUGGGGAAAGAAGCACCGGCUAACUACGU
rnacentral:rRNA from 1 species